rfam:Dipodomys ordii contig_68355, whole genome shotgun sequence.
GGUGGCUCAGUGGUAGAGCGCUUGCCUUACAUGCCAGAGGCCCUGGGUUCAAUUCCUCAGCACCA